rnacentral:rRNA from 1 species
CCUAUACAUGCAAGUCGAACGCUUUGUGGUUCAACUGAUUUGAAGAGCUUGCUCAGAUAUGACGAUGGACAUUGCAAAGAGUGGCGAACGGGUGAGUAACACGUGGGAAACCUACCUCUUAGCAGGGGAUAACAUUUGGAAACAGAUGCUAAUACCGUAUAACAAUGACAACCGCAUGGUUGUUAUUUAAAAGAUGGUUCUGCUAUCACUAAGAGAUGGUCCCGCGGUGCAUUAGCUAGUUGGUAAGGUAAUGGCUUACCAAGGCGAUGAUGCAUAGCCGAGUUGAGAGACUGAUCGGCCACAAUGGGACUGAGACACGGCCCAUACUCCUACGGGAGGCAGCAGUAGGGAAUCUUCCACAAUGGGCGAAAGCCUGAUGGAGCAACGCCGCGUGUGUGAUGAAGGGUUUCGGCUCGUAAAACACUGMUGUAAGAGAAGAAUGACAUUGAGAGUAACUGUUCAAUGUGUGACGGUAUCUUACCAGAAAGGAACGGCUAAAUACGUGCCAGCCCGCCSCGGUAAUACA